UAUCUCUGUAGAGUCUGCAUAUCAAUAAGCGGAGGAAAAGAAACUAACUAGGAUUCCCCUAGUAACGGCGAGUGAAGCGGGAAGAGCUCAAAUUUGAAAUCUUCAAGGUUUUACCUUGACGAGUUGUAGUUUAAAGAAGUGUUUUCGGUUAGAGGAGUAGUAAAAGUUCUUUGGAAUAGGACAUCAUAGAGGGUGAGAAUCCCGUAUUUGACUAUUCUUUCUAGCUUUGUGAUACACUUUCAAAGAGUCGGAUUGUUUGGGAAUGCAGUCCAAAAUGGGUGGUAAAUUUCAUCUAAAGCUAAAUAUUGGCGAGAGACCGAUAGCGAACAAGUACCGUGAGGGAAAGAUGAAAAGAACUUUGAAAAGAGAGUUAAACAGUACGUGAAAUUGUCAAAAGGGAAGCGUUUGACACCAGUGUUAUUUUUCCGAAAAUCAAUUAAAAAUUGGUUCAUGCUAAGUAGUAUUGACUUCAUCGGCUUGCUGCUUAGUUUUGGUCUUCUUUUUGAUGCACUUUUCGGUUAACAAGUCAACAUCAAUUUCUUUUGCCGUAAAAGGGUAGAAGGAAGGUGGCUUCAACAUCGGUUGAAGUGUUUAUAGCCUUUUAGCCUCUGCAGGUCGGAGAGACUGAGGUCUGCAGCGUAGACUCCUUCGGGGUUAGAUACAGUUUGUGCUAAGUUAUAGCCUUUUCAUAGACAACUUGUUGACUAUGAUUUAGUCAUUGUAGCUUACUCGCUUAUGCUAUUUUACCUACGCUUAGGAUGUUGAUGUGAUACUGCGAGCA
rnacentral:rRNA from 1 species